CAUCAACGUCCUGCAAAUUGUGAAGUCGACACACUUGGAGUAAAGAAAUACACAAGUUACCCUCCUUGUGCAGUCCUGGACUGUGGAUCCUAAAGAGAAGGUCCACUGAAGGAUGUCUUGGAAUAGGUGGUUAAGUGUUCCCAGAACACAUAGCUUUAGCAAUCCUUAUUCCAUCCACAUUUCUAGAGAAACAGAAUCUCUAAAGAAAGGGACUAAGGUUAGGAA